rnacentral:rRNA from 1 species
UAGGGAAUCUUCGGCAAUGGACGGAAGUCUGACCGAGCAACGCCGCGUGAGUGAAGAAGGUUUUCGGAUCGUAAAGCUCUGUUGUUAGAGAAGAACGUUGGUAGGAGUGGAAAAUCUACCAAGUGACGGUAACUAACCAGAAAGGGACGGCUAACUACGUGCCAGCAGCCGCGGUAAUACGUAGGUCCCGAGCGUUGUCCGGAUUUAUUGGGCGUAAAGCGAGCGCAGGCGGUUCUUUAAGUCUGAAGUUAAAGGCAGUGGCUUAACCAGUGUAAGCGUUGGAAACUGGAGGACGUGAGUGCAGAAGGGGAGAGGGGAAUUCCAUGGGUAGCGGGGAAAUGCGUAGAUAUAUGGAGGAACACCGGUGGCGAAAGCGGCUCUCUGGUCUGUAACUGACGCUGAGGCUCGAAAGCGUGGGGAGCAAACAGG